AGACGCUUAGCGGCGGCGCUUCCAGAACGCUGCGCUCGGGAGAGCCUCGGGGCCGGAGUCGCGUGGGCGCUGGGGGCGGGGCGGGCGCCCACUGCCUGAGCCGGAUGGCAGAGCCGUCUCUCCGCCAGCUCCCAGCGCUGGCUCGCGUCCCUGGGUUCCGAGCCCAGCGACGCGCAAGCUCCGUGGCCGCCAGCGCCGGCCCUGCCCCCUCGCUGCUGACCUCCGCCGCUUCACGCCGCGGACUCAGCUCCCGGGCUUUGCGGUCGCUGCCGGUGGGAUGGGGAGGGCCGCGAACCUCUGUCCUCUCAGGCAUUCACCGCGUGGCUGGGAGGGCGCCAGGAGGCCGAGGCCGGGGCUGCCAUGCGCUCCCGGUGCCUCACCCCGCAGGUCGGUCCGCCUCGUGGGCUGUGGGGCAGACGACCGGGAAGCCCCGAGAUCUCCAGAUCCUCGAUCGGGACCGAAAAGGCCCUGAACUUGUGCAGUGACUUGCCAUUGAGUCCGGGAGGUUCUGGAGACCUGGGUGACGGAAGAACGCCCAAGGCCGACUGCUGCCCUCAGUUAUCGGGGCUCCACAUGGACCAAACCCAGCUGGCAGUCAGAGGGCAAGAGCAUCUCGAUGCAGCGCAUACAGGCCAAUUCCAGGGUGCAGUGCAGCAUGGAAAAGGAGAAAUGUACCUGAAGAGGCAAAUGAAAGAUAUACAGCGUCACAGGCAAUCUUGCUUCUACUACCAUAAAAAUAGUUUACGUUUCUUAGACACUUAGUCUGUGUCAGGCAUGUCCAUUAUCUCAUUGCAUCUUCCCAUAAACCCGGUUUCCUCCAUUGGACAGAUAAAGAAACUGACUAGUGAAACAGCUUGAGGGACGGAGGUAUGAACAGCUAAGCUGUCAUUUUCCCGUCCAGAGUCUUAUCUGGUGUAUAGUAGUUCCCCUGUGAAUGUUUGUGGAAUGAAUGAAUGAAUGAGGAGCAGACAUAAAUAGGGUUAGAUAGUAAACCUCCCUGAGGAGCCUUAGCGGGGCCUCUUCUCCUUGGGACUCGGAGGGUCUCUGCAGAGAUGAGCCCUGUGCCUUUUGCUGUGUCUCCUGUUGGCCUGUAAUAGGCCAGCUUCUUCAGGUGAAAAGGGCAGGCAUGAAAGUCUGAAAAAAGCCUUGGACUUGUGCUUGGCUUUCCUAGUGGAGGUUAGCUUUUGGAAUUUAAAAAAGAGUAUGGGCUGGGCACAGUGGCUCACACCUGUAAUCCCGAGGUGGGCGGAUCACUUAAGGUCGGGAGUUUGAGACCAGCCUGGCCAACAUGGCAAAACCCCGUCUCUACUAAAAAUACAAAAAUUAGGGCAUGGUAGCGGGCGCCUGUAAUCCCAGCUACUUGGGAGGCUGAGGCAGGAGAAUUGCUUGAGCCCGGGAGGCACAGGUUGCAGUGUGCCAAGAUUGUGCCACUGCACUCCUGCCUGGACAACAGAGUGAGACUCUGUCUCAAAACAAACAAACAAACAAACAAACAAAAGUCUCUCUGAAGCCCUCUUUACCCACACCUUUAUUCCUAAUACCCCACAGUCUGGGCAGGGGCCCAGGGUGCUACCUCUCUCCCUGCUCAACUCCUCCCCACGGCUCCACCCACGAGCUCAGUUCUGCUGAUUGCAUCACUGGUGCUGCUGUUGGAACACAGCAUUCAGGGAUGAGCCAACAACCAGUUUGGUGGGUGAGUUUCACCAGCACCCUGCAAGUGGCCUGCUGUGGAGCAGAAACCUCUGCUGGAAAGCGCCGAGCCAUUUCUUCCAUGCCUUCCUCUUGCUUUACUGCCGUGUCCCCUUUUUACUGGCCUCUUCUUUCCUGGAGGGUCCCAUGAAGUCUUUCAGUUGUUGUUCAUAAUCUAAGCCCCUCAAGCAUGGAAAAGGAACCUGAUAUGUAUUGAUCACAUGCUAUGUGCCUGACAUGCUGUGCCAGAUGCUUCAUAUCUAGAUUUCAUUUAAUUUCAUAGCAAUUUAUUAGGUAAAAAAGUCAGAGAGCUCACAGCUGAGAAAACUAAGGCUGGUUAGGGAACAUGUGGAAUAUUACACAGCUGUUAAGAGGAGAGCUGGCAUUUGAACUCUGGUCUAAUCCCAAAGUCCAUUCUAACACCCUUCACACUCAGAAUAAACCCUGUGCCUGGGCAACAGUGAGACCCCCAUCUCUACAAAAAAUUAAAAACAGAUUAGCAGGGCGUGGCCGGGUGCAGUGGUUGAGGCUGCAGUGAGCCGUGAUCAGGCCACUGCGCUCCAGCCUGGGCGACAUAGCAAGACCCCGUCUUGAAAAAAAAAAAAGAAAGAAUAAACCCUGCUGCUGCAGUAUUUGGGUUUAUCUUAUACCUUUGCAAGUCAGAGCCUUUUCCUUGUGCCGUUACUUGUAUCCCCGGGGCUCGAGUGUGUGGAAGGUGCUGUUUCAGCUCACCCUUGUGGGUUUCCACGUGGAGUGCCUAACAUUUCAUUCCAUCCAUCGUCUGUCAUUCCAUCCAUCUAUUCCUUUGCUGCUGAUGGCUCCUCCAUCUGGGAGGCCGUUUCACCGGUUUCUGAAUGGCAACAUCCAAGCCCAGUUCCAGUGCCACCUCCCCCAUUGUGUCCCUUGGAUCUCAUUUGCCUCCAGAUUCCCAAACUUACCUUUGUUACCCUUCCCUGAAGGAUUUCUUACGUUACUCCUUGUGUUACAGUAAUUUGGGCAUGUGAUUUAUUUUCUUUGUUGUGGGGGACAGGGAUUAUUCUGCAAUAGUACUUGAAUCUUUCCAGGACCUUAAACUAGCAAGCCGCCAGUGAAUGCACGCAUCAGGGGAGCCCUUUAUGGGGAAAAGGGUUUGUAUAGUGAAGAUAUCUUCCUCUACUUUACAUGUUAACUUUGCUUAAAAACAAUAUUCAGCUGUAUGAUAAAUGUCCUGGUUGAGUCUAGCGUGAUGGUAGGGCACUCCUAGGGAGAAAUUCCUUGUGUUUUCCUUGAGAGUUUCAAAUUUGUGUUUUUGGGUUUUUUUUUGUUUUGUUUUUUUUUUUUUGAGACAGGGUCUCACUCUGUCACCCAGGCUGGAGUGCAGUGGCAUGAUCUUGGCUCACUGCAACUUCCACCUCCCAGGCUCAAGCGAUUCUCCUGCCUCAGCCUCCUGAGUAGCUGGGACUACAGGCACACGCCACCAUGCCCAGCUACUUUUUGUAUUUUUAGUGGAAACAGGGUUUCACCAUGUUGGCCAGGCUGCUCUCGAACUCCUGACCUCAGGUAAUCCACCCGUCUUGGCCUCCCAGACUGCUGGGAUUGGAGGCAUAAGCCACUGUGUCUGGCAAGAGAGCUUUGAAUUUGGGGAAGUGAAGAGACACUAAUGAGGGCAGGCAGUGGGGAACAGGCUGCUUAGGUAAAAGGCCCCCCAGACCCUACAUAUUCGACUCUCCAGAUGGGGCCCAGCAGAGUGGUGAGCUGUGUCCCUAGACUUUUAUCACAUGCUGCAGCUUUUCUGAGGCCAUCACUUGUGCUCCCAAGUCCCUUUAUGUUUGUUCUGAUAGACGAAGGCCAUCACUCCUCCUGCUUUCACCACUGGGGAUGAGGGAAACCUUGGCCAUAGUGGCAGUCCUCCCUCCCUGGGACCCCAGUCAGUUCAGAGCACCUAUUUCCCAUAACACCCAACACAGACAGAUGCUAGGGCCCUUCCGCAGAGAACGGGUGUGGGCUGGGAUGACUCACCUGCUCUGUGGCCGCCUACAGUGCAGCUCAAAGCCCUUGGGAAUCAAAACACUUCCCUAGGACAAGCACAGAGGCUCUCCUUAGAGACAGCAGUUUGGGUUCCUGCUUCUGCAAAUGCCUGUCACCGUACUGAUGUUUCAAAGUCCAGGUCAGUGAGGAGCCAUCCAGCUGAAUGGCCAUGGAGAACAGGCAGAAUCAGCAGCUUCAGAAAGCAGUGCCCUGAUCUGGGUAUCAGAUGACCCAGGUCUCACCUGGGCUCUUCCAGGAGCUCACUGUGUGUUUAUAAAGGAAGAGUAUUCAAUUUUUUUUUUUUUUGAGAUGGAGUUUCGUUCUUGUUGCCCAGGCUGGAAUGCAAUUGCACGAUCUUGGCUCACUGCAACAUGCACCCUCCGGGUUCAAGCAAUUGUCUUGCCUCAGCCACCUGAGUAGCUGGGAUUACAGGUGCAUGCCACCACGCCUAGCUAAUUUUUAUAUUUUUAGUAGACGGGGUUUCACCAUGUUGGCCAGGCUGGUCUCAAACUCCUGACCUCAGGUGAUCCACCUGCCUCGACCUCCCAAAGUGCUGGGAUUACAGGUGUGAGCUACCACGCCUAGUCUAAGAGCAUUCAUUCUUUAAGUAAACUUUUUUUUUUUUUUUUUUUUUUUUUGAGACAGAGUCUUGUUUUGUUACCCAGGCUAGAGUGAAGUGAUGCCAUCAUGGGCUCAAGCGAUCCUCCCACCUCAGCCUCUUCAAGAAGCUGGGACUACAGUCCCAUUACACCUGGC
rnacentral:lncRNA from 1 species